rnacentral:rRNA from 1 species
GUUGUAUGGUUAAGUGACUAAGCGUACACGGUGGAUGCCUUGGCAGUCAGAGGCGAUGAAGGACGUAUUAACUUGCGAUAAGCCCAGAUUAGGUAGUAAAAACCAUUUGAGUCUGGGAUUUCCGAAUGGGGAAACCCACUAGCAUAAGCUAGUAUCGCUGCGUGAAUACAUAGCGCAGCGAAGCGAACCGGGGGAACUGAAACAUCUAAGUACCCGAGGAAAAGAAAUCAACCGAGAUUCCGAAAGUAGCGGCGAGCGAAAUUGGACUAGCCCUUAAGCUUUUUAUGCGUCAGGUGAAACUUCUGGAAAGUUGUGCGAUACAGGGUGAUAGCCCCGUAACCGGCAACGCAUUUAAAGUGAAAUCGAGUAGGGCGGGACACGUGAUAUCCUGUCUGAAUAUGGGGGGACCAUCCUCCAAGGCUAAAUACUACUGACUGACCGAUAGUGAACCAGUACCGUGAGGGAAAGGCGAAAAGAACCCCUGUGAGGGGAGUGAAAUAGAACCUGAAACCGUGUACGUACAAGCAGUAGGAGCACCUUCGUGGUGUGACUGCGUACCUUUUGUAUAAUGGGUCAGCGACUUAUAUUCAGUGGCAAGGUUAACCAUCUAGGGGAGCCGUAGGGAAACCGAGUCUUAACUGGGCGUUCAGUCUCUGGAUAUAGACCCGAAACCAGGUGAUCUAGCCAUGGGCAGGUUGAAGGUUGAGUAACAUCAACUGGAGGACCGAACCGACUAAUGUUGAAAAAUUAGCGGAUGACUUGUGGCUAGGGGUGAAAGGCCAAUCAAACCUGGAGAUAGCUGGUUCUCCCCGAAAGCUAUUUAGGUAGCGCCUCGGACGAAUACUACUGGGGGUAGAGCACUGUUAAGGCUAGGGGGUCAUCCCGACUUACCAACCCUUUGCAAACUCCGAAUACCAGUAAGUACUAUCCGGGAGACACACGGCGGGUGCUAACGUCCGUCGUGGAGAGGGAAACAACCCAGACCGCCAGCUAAGGUCCCAAAUUACUACUAAGUGGGAAACGAUGUGGGAAGGCUCAGACAGCCAGGAUGUUGGCUUAGAAGCAGCCAUCAUUUAAAGAAAGCGUAAUAGCUCACUGGUCGAGUCGGCCUGCGCGGAAGAUGUAACGGGGCUAAGUAGUAAACCGAAGCUGCGGCAAUGCACUUUAGUGCAUUGGGUAGGGGAGCGUUCUGUAAGCGGUUGAAGGUGUGCGGUAACGCAUGCUGGACGUAUCAGAAGUGCGAAUGCUGACAUGAGUAACGAUAAAGGGGGUGAAAAACCUCCUCGCCGGAAGACCAAGGGUUCCUGUCCAACGUUAAUCGGGGCAGGGUAAGUCGACCCCUAAGGCGAGGCCGAAAGGCGUAGUCGAUGGGAAACGGGUUAAUAUUCCCGUACUUCUUACAAUUGCGAUGGGGGGACGGAGAAGGCUAGGUGGGCCUGGCGACGGUUGUCCAGGUUCAAGUGCGUAGGCUGAGAAAUUAGGUAAAUCCGGUUUCUCUUAAGGCUGAGACACGACGUCGAGCUACUACGGUAGUGAAGUCAUUGAUGCCAUGCUUCCAGGAAAAGCCUCUAAGCUUCAGAUUGUAAGGAAUCGUACCCCAAACCGACACAGGUGGUCGGGUAGAGAAUACCAAGGCGCUUGAGAGAACUCGGGUGAAGGAACUAGGCAAAAUGGUACCGUAACUUCGGGAGAAGGUACGCUCUCGACGGUGAAGUCCCUUGCGGAUGGAGCUAUUGAGAGUCGCAGAUACCAGGUGGCUGCAACUGUUUAUUAAAAACACAGCACUGUGCAAAAUCGUAAGAUGACGUAUACGGUGUGACGCCUGCCCGGUGCCGGAAGGUUAAUUGAUGGGGUUAGACUUCGGUCGAAGCUCUUGAUCGAAGCCCCGGUAAACGGCGGCCGUAACUAUAACGGUCCUAAGGUAGCGAAAUUCCUUGUCGGGUAAGUUCCGACCUGCACGAAUGGCGUAAUGAUGGCCACGCUGUCUCCACCCGAGACUCAGUGAAAUUGAAAUCGCUGUGAAGAUGCAGUGUACCCGCGGCUAGACGGAAAGACCCCGUGAACCUUUACUACAGCUUGGCACUGAACAUUGACCCUACAUGUGUAGAUAGGUGGGAGGCUUUGAAACUAGUACGCCAGUAUUAGUGGAGCCGUCCUUGAAAUACCACCCUUGUAGUGUUGAUGUCUAACGUUGACCCCUCAUCGGGGUUGCGGACAGUGCCUGGUGGGUAGUUUGACUGGGGCGGUCUCCUCCCAAAGCGUAACGGAGGAGCACGAAGGUGGGCUAAUCACGGUUGGACAUCGUGAGGUUAGUGCAAUGGCAUAAGCCCG